AGCGGGGUAGAGGAAUUGGUCAACUCAUCAGGCUCAUGACCUGAAGACUGCAGGUUCAAAUCCUGUCCCCGCCU
rnacentral:tRNA from 1 species